GUAAGGAAUAUUGGACAAUGGACGCAAGUCUGAUCCAGCCAUGCCGCGUGAAGGAUUAAGGUCCUCUGGAUUGUAAACUUCUUUUAUAAGGGACGAAAAAAGGCUUUUCUAAGUCGUCUGACGGUACCUUAUGAAUAAGCACCGGCUAACUCCGUGCCAGCAGCCGCGGUAAUACGGAGGGUGCAAGCGUUAUCCGGAUUCACUGGGUUUAAAGGGUGCGUAGGCGGGCAAGUAAGUCAGUGGUGAAAUCCUAGAGCUUAACUCUAGAACUGCCAUUGAUACUAUCUGUCUUGAAUAUUGUGGAGGUAAGCGGAAUAUGUCAUGUAGCGGUGAAAUGCUUAGAUAUGACAUAGAACACCUAUUGCGAAGGCAGCUUACUACGCAUAUAUUGACGCUGAGGCACGAAAGCGUGGGGAUCAAACAGGAUUAGAAACCCCGGUAGUCC
rnacentral:rRNA from 1 species